AACGGGAUGGUGUAGUCUGGAAAACACGCGAGGCUCAUAACCUCGUAAUCAUCGGUUCAAAUCCGAUUCCCGUUA
rnacentral:tRNA from 1 species